rnacentral:tRNA from 1 species
GGGUUGCUAACUCAACGGUAGAGUACUCGGCUUUUAAGUUUUUUACCAAAAAGUGAAAUAGAUCCAAUAGAU